GUGAUUGCUACUGUGAUUUAAUCAUACUUUCUCUUGCUGUUCAGAUAUACUUUAUGAGCGUCAAGGUACAUCAAUAAUGACCAUCACAAGUGAGAAAAAAAAUUUGGAAUUGUCUAAUGGGCUGACCAGUAAAUGGAAAGAGUGUGAAGAGACAUGCAAUAAACAGGACUAAAAUGACCACUUUGCAUCGUAAAUUGGAGAGUGAUUAAGGCUGUGAAAAGGUUAAGCAGAUAUGAAUACAUUGGAAAAUAUUCUGAGGACAGUUAACAAGAUGAUGAAUUGCAAUGAACAUCAAAACACAAAAAGAUUUUCAAAAUCACCUUGUUGCAACUAAGCAAUCCUAUCUUGUGUGACUGAUCAGAAGCCCUGGAAGUUAUGUGUCCAUGUAAUGGUAAUGAAGCAAUAUAAUGUAAUGAAGCAACAGCAGAUAUGCAGGAUGUCUGCAAAGCCUGCAGGUAGCAGUUCUGAAGACCCCAUCCAUUUCAAGGUUCAUAUCAUGCACAUAAUUGUGAUGUCCUCAAAUUUCAUUGUAUAUUGAUACAAAAUUCCAACAAAAAUAUCUGCAAGUCUGUAGAUCAAACGCGAGACACUGUGUUGUUUAGCACAAUAAAGCAUUCUUUAAGGAUGAUCAGUGUCUUCAAGGAAUGAAAUGGAGAUAAAGCUAGUGCUUGAUUAAAAUGAAAGAUGAAAAGAUUCUAUUCUUUAUGCAUUCAUUCUCCACAGGGUGUGCAACCCCAAAGAUUAAAAAAAUUAUUUCUGGAGAAGAAAGGCUUCCAUUUGAAAUGAAAUCCUUAUAAUAACAAAUUGUGUUUGUUUUCACCAUUACAUUUCCUUGACAUACAGAAGACGUAGGUUCCUUCAUAGUAUGUCAGUAAUAAUCUUUUUAAUAAAACUUACAUGUUGUCACCACUAGAUAUAUUUGAAUAGAUAUUUAGAACACAAAUAUAUUGAAACUAAA